CACUUUCGGCCGAGCAGUCUUCGACUGAUCCUCGAGCGAGAAAGGUCGUCGGUAUUGGACGCGCGCGCGAUACCAUCCAACACGUUCCUAUUAUAGUGUGUGCGUGUGUGUUGAGUAUAAUCACUCGUCCUCUCUCCAAUUCUCUUCUUCCUUUAUUCCAUCGCUUUCUACGUAUUCUUACGAAGUUUCCGUAUAUUCACCGCGAUAGGUAUCGAUAGCCAGAAUUUUUUCGCGGCUAAGGUAUUCAGAGGUCGAAGACGAAGAAAGUCUCUUGACCCUUUUUUUUCUUUUCUUUUCUUUUCCACUGUUGGUUCUCGAGCGCGUCGCGAGUUCGAUGUUCUUUCGGUUCAACGAUUCCUUCGCGCUGGUGGAACAACCUCGAGAUACUAUGCGGUCCCAUCGGCUCGUCCUUAUUCCGUUCUGUCGUUUGUUUUCGUUUCGCGCCACAUAGAGGCUACCCCCGUGCUUUUCUCUGGCGAUAUGACUCUUUGAUGUUUGCUGAUCUGUGGAGGGGCGAGUGAACAGAGAACCGCGAACGUACUAUGUUGCUGUGAAACUCGGGAACCGCGGAUUCGCUCCACGAAAUCUUCAGGUGAACCAGCGAUACGGUCGCGAAAGGUCGAACGAAAUAGAAAAAGGCAAAACCCGAGUCACACCAGAGAGGCAAAUCAUACAGCUGUGUUUCGUUUCUAUCCACUUAGUAGGCCGGGCCACGUGUACCAAGAGAAUUAUUGCAACGGAUAACGCCGUGUUUCUGACACGGUCGACACGCCACGUUACUACGUCGUAACACGAAAUUGAUUAACCCUUAACUGGUUGCGUAUCUCCGUCGGGUUAAAGGCUGAUCAAUACGAGCCACGUUUCAUUCGUUCGAUCCGAGUAUCUUCUUUUUAACUGGCUGCGACAAUUGCUAUCUCUGAGGAGUUUCCUUUUAGGAAGCUUCGGAAAGCCACGUCUCGAGUAAUACUUGUGAUUCCCCGUCGAGUCUUUCGUGGAUUGUCAGUUUGGAACACUUUAACGUCUCGUUACCUUUUUUCCUCUCCCACGAGCGAUCCGAUCGCUUUUCAAUGAAAUAUCGGUUGGAAUAUAGAGGACGAAACAAUUUUCUCUUUGCUUUUUCAUGUAUACGCGGAAUUACUUAAUCCUGAAGUAGAUAUUAUAUUUGUAUAUUAAGUGUCGUUCGAAGAAUUGUUGUAUAAUGUGGUUCUGAUAUACCAUACUUUAUUGGUGGAGAAGCUUUAAAUGGAAUAUUGUACCGAUAGAACAUAGAAGUUUGAGUAUAAUAGCGUGUUAGUUUCAAUAGUUAAUUCCGUAGCUGUGUAAUCGAGUAAUAAGCUAUAUAAUAUACGUUGUUACACAAUAGUUGGCCAGAUACCUUCCGUUGUUUGAAGAAUAUCUACUGCAUGCAAUGAACGUGAACUCUUCCUCACUUCGGUAGAUCUUAAUGUCUCGUUGUUUGGAAAAUUGUUGUACACGAAUACUGUUACGCGUGCUUUCCACGAAUAUCUAUACUCUUUAUAUGUAUAUUAAAAAACGCGAGGAAGUGUAGACAUAACCGAAUACCUGAGCAACAAUGUAUUAACGUUAAUAAUUCAUUGUAUAGUUAGAUAAUUCAGUAGUAAGCUAUGUAAUAGACAGCACAGUUAACAAGAUAUCUUAUAGUGUUGUUUAUUGGAAAUUUUCUCUAUGUAACACGGUGUAUUUGGUGUACUUGAACAAAUUCAAACGAACUUCAUAGGAAGUCUUUCGUCUUGCAAUUAAUGUUAUAUAUUAUUAUUGUUAUAUAUUAUCGUAGAUGUUAAUCAUAAGGACAAAAAAUUACAGAAAAAGCGAUAACAAGAGCAUGCAAACGAGGAAAAUGUGUUUAGCGAUGUUUUAUAACGAUGUUCUGUAGCGAUAGCGAUAUUUCAGCGUGAAAUGUGUCAAAUUACUGAAUUCUUCCUAUCGUACGUAUCUGAUGCUUAGUCAUCGCGUAUAUCUCAUAAUCAGGAUAUCGGUAUAAUUAAUUUGUGUUACUUGCACGCGAAAAUAGAUCAACCGAAUUGAUUAGAUGCAACAUGUUUACGAAUUCAAGACACCUUUGACAAAUGAUCUUAAAAUGAUUAAUUGUAUGUAAAAAUAGCUCUACCUAAAGUAUUCGUCUAUAUAAUUGUUAAACAGGAUGCAUUUCAAAGAUAAAAUCAAAGAGGGUGCUUAGGAAAGAAAUAUUUUUUUUAUAAGUAGCAAUUAAUCAGAACCCCCAGGAGAACUUCGAGUAAUUAAAGGGGUAACUUCAAUAAAUUAGACCAUAAAUUUGAACGGAACAUGCGUAAUAUAUUCGCUUUAUCAGGCACCCCUAUAGCGUUUCAGAAACACUGUAGACACUAUAUUUCGUCCUACCAAUCUCAAAAUCACAAUUCUAAUAUAUCCAUAUCUAUAAAUCUAAUUGGCGCAGCUUGAAAAAAUAUAUUUCUUCACCUAACUUAGUUAGAUUAAAUCUAAGUUUUAAUUGUCUUGUGUAAAAGAACAAGUAAAUAAAGACGUAUAUUUAUUCCAAUA
rnacentral:lncRNA from 1 species